rnacentral:sRNA from 1 species
CCACCUACUGGUGUUUGAGUCCAGGGUGUUUCCCUGCAGUGCCCUGAAUUCUCCAUGGGAGGACCCGUGCAUGGGGGUGGGGGGACAGAAGCUGCCCACCCAGCGGCUUCUCUGCGGAGCCACAAUGAAGGUGGAGGGGUCUGAACUUCUGAGGCCCCGCCCCGGCCCACAGGUGGAGGACCAAACAGAACCUCGAUUACUGCUUCCUCAUGAUGUACGCGCAGUCCAAAGGCAUCUACUACGUGCAGCUGGAGGAUGACAUCGUGGCCAAGCCCAACUACCUAAGCACCAUGAAGAACUUUGCACUGCAGCAGCCUUCAGAGGACUGGAUGAUCCUGGAGUUCUCCCAGCUGGGCUUCAUUGGUGUGCCCCUCCCCUUACCUGACGGUGCCUUUCAGUCCCACCUGCCUUUGCCAUCCUGUCUCCCAGUCCCACUGUGUCCACUGUGAGCCUUUGCCCAGGUGGGCCCUGCCUGGUGUGUGUGCUACAGCCCCACCUGGCCUGUUCUCAUUGCCUGUGCAUCAGACAUGUCUGCCCUCAUCACCUGUCUGCCCCCCUGCCCCGUUAUGCCCACACCUGCCUGAAGCCUGCCC